rnacentral:rRNA from 1 species
ACCGUGCAAAGGUAGCAUAAUCAUUAGUUUUUUAAUUGAAAGCUGGUAUGAAUGGUCGGACGAGGGAGCAACUGUCUCAAUUUAAUUUUAAUAGAACUUUAAUUUUAAGUUAAAAUGCUUAAAUAUAUUUAAAAGACGAGAAGACCCUAUAGAGUUUUAUAUAAUAUAGUAUGUGUAAAUAUAGGAAUUUAUAGGAUUAUACAUACAUAGGCUAUAUUUUGUUGGGGCGAUGGGAAAAUUGAAAGAACUUUUUUUUUAUGAAAUCAUUAAUAUAUGAGUAGGUGAUCCGUUAUUUACGAUUAUAAGAUUAAAUUACCUUAGGGAUAACAGCGUUAUUUUUUUUAAGAGUUCAAAUCGAAAAAAGAGUUU